rnacentral:rRNA from 1 species
GACGAACGCUGGCGGCGUGCCUAAUACAUGCAAGUAGAACGCUGAAGAGAGGAGCUUACUCUUCUUGGAUGAGUUGCGAACGGGUGAGUAACGCGUAGGUAACCUGCCUUGUAGCGGGGGAUAACUAUUGGAAACGAUAGCUAAUACCGCAUAACAAUGGAUGACACAUGUCAUUUAUUUGAAAGGGGCAAUUGCUCCACUACAAGAUGGACCUGCGUUGUAUUAGCUAGUAGGUGAGGUAAUGGCUCACCUAGGCGACGAUACAUAGCCGACCUGAGAGGGUGAUCGGCCACACUGGGAUUGAGACACGGCCCAGACUCCUACGGGAGGCAGCAGUAGGGAAUCUUCGGCAAUGGGGGCAACCCUGACCGAGCAACGCCGCGUGAGUGAAGAAGGGUUUCGGAUCGUAAAGCUCUGUUGUAAGUCAAGAACGGGUGUGAGAGUGGAAAGUUCACACUGUGACGGUAGCUUACCAGAAAGGGACGGCUAACUACGUG